rnacentral:rRNA from 1 species
UCCGCAGGCGGUCUUAUAAGUCAGUGGUGAAAGCCUACAGCUCAACUGUAGAACUGCCAUUGAUACUGUAGGACUUGAAUUUGAUCGAAGUGGGCGGAAUAUGACAUGUAGCGGUGAAAUGCUUAGAUAUGUCAUAGAACACCGAUAGCGAAGGCAGCUCACUAGGUCUGGAUUGACGCUCAGGGACGAAAGCGUGGGGAGCAAACA